UACGUAGGUGACCAGCGUUGUCCGGAUUUACUGGGCGUAAAGAGCGCGCAGGCGGUCGUUCAAGUCGAGUGUGAAAGCCCCCGGCUUAACUGGGGAGGGUCAUUCGAUACUGCUCGACUUGAAGGCAGGAGAGGGUAGUGGAAUUCCCGGUGUAGUGGUGAAAUGCGUAGAUAUCGGGAGGAACACCAGUGGCGAAGGCGACUACCUGGCCUGUUCUUGACGCUGAGGCGCGAAAGCUGGGGGAGCAAACGGG
rnacentral:rRNA from 1 species